rnacentral:pre_miRNA from 1 species
CUAAGUAGUAGUGCCGCAGGUAAUACUACUAUAUUUACCUGCACACGACUGCUUAACA